rnacentral:tRNA from 1 species
UAUACCAUGGUCUAAUAGGUAGGACACGAAUUUUUGGUGUUCGUAAGUAGGUGUUCGAAUCACCUUGGUAUAA